AGCAUAUCAAUAAGCGGAGGAAAAGAAACCAACAGGGAUUGCCCUAGUAACGGCGAGUGAAGCGGCAACAGCUCAAAUUUGAAAUCUGGCUCCUUCCGGGGUCCGAGUUGUAAUUUGUAGAGGGUGCUUUGGCGUCGGCCAUGGUCUAAGUUCCUUGGAACAGGACGUCACAGAGGGUGAGAAUCCCGUACGUGGCCGCUGGCCUUCGCCAUGUAAAGCCCCUUCGACGAGUCGAGUUGUUUGGGAAUGCAGCUCUAAAUGGGAGGUAAAUUUCUUCUAAAGCUAAAUAUUGGCCAGAGACCGAUAGCGCACAAGUAGAGUGAUCGAAAGAUGAAAAGCACUUUGGAAAGAGAGUCAAAAAGCACGUGAAAUUGUUGAAAGGGAAGCGCUUGCAGCCAGACUUGCCCGUAGUUGCUCAUCCAGGCUUCGGCCUGGUGCACUCUUCUGCGGGCAGGCCAGCAUCAGUCCAGGCGGUCGGAUAAAGGUCCCGGGAAUGUGGCUCUCUUCGGGGAGUGUUAUAGCCCGGGGCGCAAUGCGGCCAGCUUGGACUGAGGUCCGCGCAUCUGCUAGGAUGCUGGCGUAAUGGCUGUAAGCGGCCCGUCUUGAAACACGGACCAAGGAGUCUAACAUCUAUGCGAGUGUUUGGGUGUCAAGCCCGAGCGCGCAAUGAAAGUGAACGGAGGUGGGAACCCGCAAGGGUGCACCAUCGACCGAUCCUGAUGUCUUCGGAUGGAUUUGAGUAAGAGCAUAGCUGUUGGGACCCGAAAGAUGGUGAACUAUGCCUGAAUAGGGUGAAGCCAGAGGAAACUCUGGUGGAGGCUCGCAGCGGUUCUGACGUGCAAAUCGAUCGUCAAAUUUGGGCAUAGGGGCGAAAGACUAAUCGAACUAUCUAGUAGCUGGUUCCUGCG
rnacentral:rRNA from 1 species